CUAGCGACUUCAGAGUUUGAUCCUGGCUCAGGAUUAACGCUGGCGGCGUGCAUAACACAUUCAAGUCGAACGGUUUGUAGAAAUACAAACAGUGGCGGACGGGUGAGUAACGCGUGAGCAAUCUACCUUCCAGUGCGGAAUAACAACCGGAAACAGUUGCUAAUACCGCAUGAAACGGCAGCACCGCAUGGUGCAACCGUCAAAGGCUUGCUGCUGGAAGAUGAGCUUGCGUCUGAUUAGAUAGUUGGUGAGGUAGCGGCUCACCAAGUCGACGAUCAGUAGCCGGACUGAGAGGUUGAACGGCCACAUUGGAACUGAGAUACGGUCCAG
rnacentral:rRNA from 1 species